CACGCGCCCGCCCCCAGCUUCGCGCCCAGAUCGUCGCCUAGCCUGCUCGCGCAGUCGCCGUCUCGUUUGCCCACCGACCAAGCAUGGGCGUCCAGGGCUUCCAAGAGUUCCUGGAGAAGCGCUGUCCUGGGGCCGUGGUUCCCGUGGACCUCCUCAAACUCGCGCGCACCGUCUCACGCCAGCAGCAGCAGCAACAGCAGCAGCAGCACCUGCACCGCCAGCUGCCACCGACGGCAGCCCUAGCGCCCGGGGCUGCACGCGCCACCAGGGGCUCCGCUCCUCUGCAGCCACCGCUCCCGCCCGCUGCCUUGGGUGCCUACUCCGGGGGCGCGGGGCCGACUCGGCACCAUCACCCUGCUCACCACUUCCACCACCACGGCCAGGCACAGCCCGGGCUGCACCCUCCGCUGCCGCCGCCGCCCCCUCCGCUGCCCGGGGCCCGGGUGCUGGUAGACGCGGGCUCGGCGCUGCCGCGGCUCUAUGGCGGCUACCAGACGGAUUGGGUGUGUGGCGGCCAAUGGAACGCCAUGCUGGGCUACUUGUCAGCGCUGUGCCAGGCUUGUGCCUAUCCCGGCGGCGACGGCCUGGAGCUUGUGGUCAUGUUCCCUGGGGGCCUGGGGAAGGACCGACUGGCCGAGUGGGGCCGUCGGUGCCAGGCCGAGCGGCAGACAGCGCAACUGAUCGUGGGACACGUGGGCAACAAGGGCACCCCUCCACCGCGUGCCUGGUUCCUGCCACCUGCCUGCCUGAGCCACUGCGUGAGGCUAGCACUCAUCCGCUUCCGGGUCAAGGUGAGGGAGGGGCCGGAUUUUAAAUAACAAGCCCUAUACCUAUUCCCUCCCAACUGAACACCUAACCACUUAACCUGCUUCCUGUCUGCCCCCUCAUCCACCCAAACAGCUAACCUACCUGCCUAAGUACCCUCGCCCAUUUUAUCCACCUACCUCCCUCCAUACUUCCCCCUACCAAUUCGCUCAC